rnacentral:rRNA from 1 species
UACGUAGGGGGCCAGCGUUGCUCGGAAUUACUGGGCGUAAAGGGUCCGUAGGCGGUGCGGCAAGUCGGAAGUGAAAUCUCGAGGCUUAACUUCGAGGCUGCUCCCGAAACUGCCGUGCUCGAGUGCGAGAGAGGCGAGUGGAAUUGCAGGUGUAGCGGUGAAAUGCGUAGAGAUCUGCAGGAACACCCGAAGCGAAAGCGGCUCGCUGGAUCGCAACUGACGCUGAGGGACGAAAGCUAGGGGAGCAAACAGG